AUGAGUCAGGCAUCCAUGGUGCAGCCGGUUACAACAACUUACAUAGUGUUGGGACCCUUUCGAUUUCCUGGUGAUGGUAGCAUAGAUAUACUUUGGAAGAGAAGGGAGUACACCUUUAAGGAAAAAGGUGCAUUUGUGACUGGUAUUGAUCUCUCCGGAAAUUAUCUAUCUGGUAGCAUCCCGGAGAACAUUGGCAACUUAAAGUUAUUAGAAUCGCUUGACCUCUCGUGGAACAAACUAUCGGGUCCUAUUCCCGUUACCAUGUCAGACUUGAUGUUCCUGAGCUCUCUUAACCUCUCGAACAACCGUCUAUCAGGCGAGAUACCUACAGGAAGUCAGCUCCAGACACUCGAGGACCCAUCGAUCUAUAGCAAUAACCUCGGACUUUGUGGUCCCCCAUUGAGCAUUCCAUGUACAAACAAUUCAGAUACUACGACACCAGCGGAUGGGGCAAAGGAACAUCACCAUGAACUUGAAACAUUAUGGCUUUACUACUCAGUGAUUGCUGGAACUGUCUUCAGUUUUUGGGUAUGGUGUGCAGCACUGUUUUUCUGCAAGAUCUGGAGGUUUGCUUUCUUCAGCUGCAUCGAUGCGCUGUACCAAAAGUUUAUACUGAAGAUGAAGCGCACCUGA
rnacentral:rRNA from 1 species